rnacentral:lncRNA from 1 species
ACGGGAAGAAGCUGAACGGACAGAGAGCCCCAACGGGAGUGCGACGGUAACGAACGGGAGCGCGAGUUCUGCGAAACCUCUGCUCGGGAGAGUGAGCACGCCUCCGCUGUGAGUGCAAGCACGCCUCCGGCAGAGAGACGCGAGCACGCCGCCGUUAGGAACCUCCGCCAUCUGCGAGAGACGCGAGUGCUACGCUUCAUCCGGUCAACCGCGAUCUCACCGUCCUUCCACUAUCCUCCGGCCAACGAGAAACUCCCUCAGCCGCCAAGACAGAUUAGGGUUGAUCCCACAAGGGAUCCCCAAAUUUGGAUCGGCGAGUGGAAAGGAGACUCGGCGAGAGUACGAGAACCCUUCCAACUGCCCAGACAGACUAGGGUCGAUUCCGUAAGGAAUCCCCAUUCUUAUAUAGGCGAGUUGGGGGGGCUUAUCGGCGAGUGUGAGAAGGCUAUCGGCGAGUGGGAUAGGGUAUCGGCGAUUCUUGUAUUAAUUCGGCGGGAAAGAAGCUAUUGGGAGUGAAUAACCACUCAAAAUACACACUAUUGAACCCACUUAAAAUCUACUCAAAAUCUGUGUGAUCGUCGAUUGGAGUCUUUAAAUCGGCGAGUAAUCGGCGAGUUGGAACUUGGCUCACUUUAAAUCGGCGAUUUCACGGCGGAAUCGGCGAGUUGGAAGUGAACUCUUUCACUCUGGAAUCGGCGAGUUAGAGGGACUUUAAGCACGACAAAUCGACGAGUAGCUUUUGGGGAUCUAUCAAGUGGUGAUAUUAACUAAAACAAUUGGGUUGAAGAUUUGGAUUGAAUUUUGAGGGGUGAAACUAAUUAAUCAAAUAUUAUCACUACUAAGCAAGGUUAUCGUUACGAUUGAGAAGG